rnacentral:rRNA from 1 species
UACGUAUGGUGCAAGCGUUAUCCGGAAUGACUGGGUGUAAAGGGAGCGUAGACGGUCUUUUAAGUCUGAUGUGAAAGCCUUCGGCUUAACCGGAGUAGUGCAUUGGAAACUGGGAGACUUGAGUGCAGAAGAGGAGAGUGGAACUCCAUGUGUAGCGGUGAAAUGCGUAGAUAUAUGGAAGAACACCAGUGGCGAAAGCGGCUCUCUGGUCUGUAACUGACGCUGAGGUUCGAAAGCGUGGGUAGCAAACAGG